rnacentral:rRNA from 1 species
GAUGAACGCUGGCGGCGUGCCUAAUACAUGCAAGUCGAGCGAACGGACGAGAAGCUUGCUUCUCUGAUGUUAGCGGCGGACGGGUGGGUAACACGUGGAUAACCUACCUAUAAGACUGGGAUAACUUCGGGAAACCGUAGCUAAUACCGGAUAAUAUUUUGAACCGCAUGGUUCAAAAGUGAAAGACGGUCUUGCUGUCACUUAUAGAUGGAUCCGCGCUGCAUUAGCUAGUUGGUAAGGUAACGGCUUACCAAGGCAACGAUGCAUAGCCGACCUGAGAGGGUGAUCGGCCACACUGGAACUGAGACACGGUCCAGACUCCUACGGGAGGCAGCAGUAGGGAAUCUUCCGCAAUGGGCGAAAGCCUGACGGAGCAACGCCGCGUGAGUGAUGAAGGUCUUCGGAUCGUAAAACUCUGUUAUUAGGGAAGAACAUAUGUGUAAGUAACUGUGCACAUCUUGACGGUACCUAAUCAGAAAGCCACGGCUAACUACGUG